UACGGGGGGGGCAAGCGUUGUUCGGAAUUACUGGGCGUAAAGGGCUCGUAGGUGGCCAACUAAGUCAGACGUGAAAUCCCUCAGCUUAACUGGGGAACUGCGUCUGAUACUGGAUGGCUUGAGUUUGGGAGAGGGAUGCGGAAUUCCAGGUGUAGUGGUGAAAUGCGUAGAUAUCGGGAGGAACACCAGUGGCGAAGGCGACUACCUGGCCUGUUCUUGACGCUGAGGCGCGAAAGCGAGGGGAGCAAACGGG
rnacentral:rRNA from 1 species